rnacentral:rRNA from 1 species
AACGUAGGAGACGAACGUUAUCCGGAGUUACUGGGCGUAAAGGGCGUGCAGGCGGUCUGAUAAGUUCGGCGUGAAAUAUUCCGGCUUAACCGGGAUAGGUCGUCGGAGACUGUCGGACUAGAGGGUGAUAGAGGCGUGUGGAAUUCCGGGUGUAGCGGUGGAAUGCGUAGAGAUCCGGAAGAACACCAGUGGCGAAGGCGGCCCGCUGGGCAGUGGCUGA